AACAGGAUUAGAUACCCUGGUAGUCCACGCCGUAAACGAUGUCGACUUGGAGGUUGUUCCCUUGAGGAGUGGCUUCCGGAGCUAACGCGUUAAGUCGACCGCCUGGGGAGUACGGCCGCAAGGUUAAAACUCAAAUGAAUUGACGGGGGCCCGCACAAGCGGUGGAGCAUGUGGUUUAAUUCGAUGCAACGCGGAGAACCUUACCUACUCUUGACAUCCAGAGAACUUUCCAGAGAUGGAUUGGUGCCUUCGGGAACUCUGAGACAGGUGCUGCAUGGCUGUCGUCAGCUCGUGUUGUGAAAUGUUGGGUUAAGUCCCGCAACGAGCGCAACCCUUAUCCUUUGUUGCCAGCGGUCCGGCCGGGAACUCAAAGGAGACUGCCAGUGAUAAACUGGAGGAAGGUGGGGAUGACGUCAAGUCAUCAUGGCCCUUACGAGUAGGGCUACACACGUGCUACAAUGGCGCAUACAAAGAGAAGCGACCUCGCGAGAGCAAGCGGACCUCAUAAAGUGCGUCGUAGUCCGGAUUGGAGUCUGCAACUCGACUCCAUGAAGUCGGAAUCGCUAGUAAUCGUAGAUCAGAAUGCUACGGUGAAUACGUUCCCGGGCCUUGUACACACCGCCCGUCACACCAUGGGAGUGGGUUGCAAAAGAAGUAGGUAGCUUAACCUUCGGGAGGGCGCUUACCACUUUGUGAUUCAUGACUGGGGUGAAGUCGUAACAAGGUAACC
rnacentral:rRNA from 1 species